GACGAACGCUGGCGGCGUGCUUAACACAUGCAAGUCGAACGGAAAGGCCCUGCUUUUGUGGGGUGCUCGAGUGGCGAACGGGUGAGUAACACGUGAGUAACCUGCCCUUGACUUUGGGAUAACUUCAGGAAACUGGGGCUAAUACCGGAUAGGAGCUCCUGCUGCAUGGUGGGGGUUGGAAAGUUUCGGCGGUUGGGGAUGGACUCGCGGCUUAUCAGCUUGUUGGUGGGGUAGUGGCUUACCAAGGCUUUGACGGGUAGCCGGCCUGAGAGGGUGACCGGCCACAUUGGGACUGAGAUACGGCCCAGACUCCUACGGGAGGCAGCAGUGGGGAAUAUUGCACAAUGGGCGGAAGCCUGAUGCAGCAACGCCGCGUGCGGGAUGACGGCCUUCGGGUUGUAAACCGAUUUCGCCUGUGACGAAGCGUGAGUGAAGGUAAUGGGUAAAGAAGCACCGGCUAACUACGUG
rnacentral:rRNA from 1 species